GGGAAUGUGGCUUAGUGGUUAGAGUGCUUGCCUAGCAUGCAUGAAGCCCUGGAUUCGAUUCCUCAGUACCA
rnacentral:tRNA from 1 species